GUACAUACAAUAUCAUCAGGUUGCCCCAGCUUUGAAUGAACCGUAUAUACAAUAUCAUGCCUGUAUAAGAAAGAAACUUAAUAGGUACAAUACAAUAAGAAUGCAUGUUCUACGCAAGACGAAUAACCAUGACACAACGUUAGGGGCAUGUUUUAUGCAUAACAUGCAAGGAACAAAACAGAAACAUAUUCUAUGCGGCGCCAGCGAGAGCAUGUUCUAUGCAAUAGACAGAGUAAAUCAUAUUCUAUGCGAUAGUAGCAAACGCAUGGUCGAUGCAACAGGUACGAACAUUUUCUAUGUGAAUGUAAGGGCAUGUACAAGGCAAUACAACGCAACAUGCAUAUCCCGAGCAUGUACGAUGCAAUACAACACAACAUGCAUAUUCUAUGCAAAAUAACAACAAUGCAUAUUCAAUGCAACAUGCAUAUUCUAUGCAAACAUAGGGAUGCAUGUUCUAUGCAACAAUACAAAAUGCAUGUUCCAUGCAACGGCAAAGACAUGCACAUUCUAUGCAACAACAAAAGCGUGUUUGAUAAAGACGACUCAAUCGCAACUUCCGAUUUACCUCUCGGAAGAGUUGCAGUAUGUUUAAAAAAAGGAUACACCUUGCCCAUGUUGAGUAGUGAUGAGCCAUGCGCCGAAGACACAGUUCAAGGCUUCCGCAGAGACAUUUUGAGCUUAAAAGUGAGCUUUCCUUGCGCUUUCUUGAGAACCAGGGGCACAAAACAGUAGUAAAACACACAUGGAGAGCAUUAAAGGCCUAUCGGUCACCAGGGAAGGUGAUCGGCCACCCAUCGAGCACCAAAAACAAUUGUCAAAAUGGCCAUUUCACCUCAGGUGUUUAAGUAUAGGGUUCCAAACCCUAUUUCCCCACUUCUUUAUUGCCGAAAAUCAUACUCCUCUCACUCCAGACCAUUUUCCUCCUUCGAUUCGAGCAUUAUAUGCAUUUUCCAACACCCCAUGAACAUUUUCUUCGCUAAACCCUCGUAGUUUACUCCAUUUUUAGCCGAUUGAAAACCAAUUUCGGUGCUUCUUUCUUUAUUUCCACCACUUGAGGCUUGUUUCCCUCGAGUUACCCUGGAGUUUUGCGCCUUUUCCUAGGCUUUGACUUUUUCAGCCAUUUUUCCUCUUGGGAGAUGACUUUCGUUGACUCUUGGCAUUCUUUACCCAUUUUUCCCAUUUCUAACCAUUUUCUCAUCUUUUCUCGAGAUGGCGGACAACAUCCCACAUGACGAAGCUUCUCUAGAGAUAAAGGUGGAUCCAGAGUUUGAGCCACUGCCACCUAGCGUUCGACCUUUUGACCCGGUGACGUAUCAUCCUGAGAUACACGUGCUACCGCCCGAUAGCAUUCGUCAGUUCAGGGGGUUUGCACGAGGCGCACCGGAGGACCUCUUACUGCACGAGCCAGAGUCACAUUUAUCUCAUGGCGCCUCCAGGGGGAUUCACGCACCAUCAGAGGAUAUGGGACCACAUCGGCGAGGAAGUGGUACAUGGAGCUCCCUGACGACGUUCGCCACAUCAUCGACGGGGCCGACUUCAACUCAUUCUGCAUGGGGCUCUCAAGCCUCAUAGCGAGCUGGCCUCUACUGGGUGCCUUGGUAGAGAGGUGGUGGCAUACCACCGAUUCCUUUCAUUUCUCUAUCUCUAGGGAGAUAACGAUGACUCCCUUUGACUUCUCUAUGCUCACCGGCAUAGAUGUGGGGGGUCAUCCAAUCCCUUAUGACACAGAUAUGGGUGAGUAGGAGGCCGCCCAGAUUUAUCUGCUGGGGACACGCUCACCUAUCUCCCGAUCAGGGAUGGUUCGAUACUCUUGGUUUGCAGACCAUUACAGAGGGACGGCACCAGUGACCUGAGAGGAGAUCGAGCAGUAUGCCCGAGGUUUCCUGAUAUUCCUGUUUGACACUACCCUGUUCGCCGACCGGGUAAACACUGUCAGGCUAUACCUCAUGAGCGCCUUGGUGGACCUGUCUCGUGUACGAUUCUACGAUUGGGGCGGCGCUGGCUUGGCUACCUUAUACGGGUACAUGAGCUCCACCUCUCACACGAGCAAGCAUCUGAUAGGAGGCUACUGGAGGGCCUAGGAGCUAUGGGUGUACACCUACUUUCUGAGACUUGCCCCAGAGCCAAAGGUGGAGAUGCCGCCUAUCGUGCCAUACUCUCACCGGUAUGACGGGAGAUGCCAACGGAGGUCCCGGGAGUCCUUUCCCUUCUUCUGUCGGUGCUUCGAUACUAUGACCGCGGUUAAGAUUACUUGGCAGCCCUGGGUGACGAUGCUUGAGGGAUUCAAGGAUCAGGUCACUGGUGCCCGAGAGGCUUCCUGUUUUCGGCUCCUGCUCGAGGGCCCGGUUUGUCGAGUGUGGUUCGUAGGAGAGCAAUUCUUAUGCCAGACCAUCGGCUUUCCCGAGUUAGUAGUUCCGAUGCCGCCUCUAACAUAUAUGAGAGCCAUAGAGAAAUACACUAUGCAGGAGAUGAUUGAUUUCACCAGAGGCUGGGACGUUGACUUCUUCCGAGUCGAGGGUGAUUACAUAGCCUUUAUCCAGACAUACCUCAUGCCAUCUCUAGCUGGCGCCCGUGGAGGUGAGAGAUCGAGGGUUCCAGCUGCGGGAGAGAGAGGCAGAGGGGUCGGGGCGACCAGGGCCCAUGGAAGGAGAGGUUCUAGAGCGAGACAGAGGACUAGGUGGCCAGAGCUACCUACCGCACUUACCUAGUGCCGACAUACUGGGGAGGCUUUCCAGAUCCCUAUUGAGCCCGCACCAACCGGGCAUGAGCUUGUCGGGGUUCGAGGCCUGACUCCAGCACCCAUAUAGUACACUGGGCAAGCCCUCAAGCUAGUGGCUUCCCUGACGGAGAUGGUGCAGAGGCGCAUGAACCUGUUCAGCCUCUACAAGAUUCCGCCACAUCGGACAUUCCAGCGGGAGCUGCAGCAGGACCAUCAGCACCUCCUCCGACAGCAGGGAGAGAGAGAGAGAGGAGGUUUCGACUCACAGCCGAGGAAAAGCUAGGGGCACCAGUGACGAGAGUGGCCCUUUAGAGCUCGUUCUGGACGAUGAUGAUGAUGAGAUGAGUGAGGACGAGGAGGCAACGAGUCCAUAGUCAAAGUUAUCUGAGGACGGAAAGGGCAAUGUUGGCUUAGAUUCUGAGGACGGAGAUGAUGCUGAGGCUGGGUCAGCAGCUAGCUUAGACACGAGGGCCUCUGAUAGCAGCGCUGAUGAAGAUAGCUCUGAGUCCAUGCCUAGGAAGAGGAUGAAGAGGGCCUCUCGAUCCUGAGGUGGAUGGCACUGAUUUAGAUGUUUUUGCUUUGUCUCUUUGUGCUUUUUUCUUUUAGCUAGAAGUGUUAGCACAUUGUACAAUUUUAUUUUCUUAAAAACUUGUACCCUUUU